CGUGUAGGCGGCUUCGCAAGUCAGAGGUGAAAUGUCCCGGCUCAACCGGGGACCUGCCUUCGAAACUGCGGAGCUUGAGGCCGUGAGAGGAGACUGGAAUUCCCAGUGUAGCGGUGAAAUGCAUAGAUAUUGGGAAGAACACCAGUGGCGAAGGCGAGUCUCUGGCACGGUUCUGACGCUGAGGCGCGAAAGCUAGGGGAGCGAACG
rnacentral:rRNA from 1 species